rnacentral:rRNA from 1 species
UACGUAGGGGGCAAGCGUUGUCCGGAUUUAUUGGGCGUAAAGAGCUCGUAGGCGGUUUGUCGCGUCUGCUGUGAAAACGCGAGGCUCAACCUCGCGCCUGCAGUGGGUACGGGCAGACUAGAGUGCGGUAGGGGAGAUUGGAAUUCCUGGUGUAGCGGUGGAAUGCGCAGAUAUCAGGAGGAACACCGAUGGCGAAGGCAGAUCUCUGGGCCGUAACUGACGCUGAGGAGCGAAAGCAUGGGGGAGCGAACAGG